rnacentral:rRNA from 1 species
CGGGAGUAACACCUGGAAACAGAUGCUAAUACCGGAUAACAACAGAUGAUGCCUAUCAACUGUUUAAAAGAUGGUUCUGCUAUCACUCUUGGAUGGACCUGCGGUGCAUUAGCUAGUUGGUAGGGUAACGGCCUACCAAGGCGAUGAUGCAUAGCCGAGUUGAGAGACUGAUCGGCCACAUUGGGACUGAGACACGGCCCAAACUCCUACGGGAGGCAGCAGCG